UGCCUAACGAUUUGCCCUGCCUUGGACAGCCAGUCCUCUUCAGGUGGUGGGCUGCUGGUAGGGGUAGGAAGCAAGGCCUGGGGCACAGUUGGGGACCCUCACACCUGAUUUUCUGUUUUAAGGAGGAACUGGGUUUCAAAAAGCUGUAGAGUCAGUGGGAGUUUCCUUUUGUGGCCCUUGGCACUUUUUAAAACACCCAUCUGCAAGGCGGGAACAGCGGAGAAAGUGCUAUGUAGUUCAUAAAAAGGAUAUUGGGAGACUGUUAUCUUAAGAGUUUUUCUAGAGAUUGUUUUGUAAUCUCUCAGUUUAGAGAGUUGAUAUGUCCCGCGCCAUCAGCCCGCUGAAUGGGAUCUUCCUUCAGACAGGGACUGAGAAACGGAAAUACUACCAUCCUCCAGCCAAUCUGUUGGGAGGACUGCUUGCAGAGGACUCGUGCUCCAGAUGUUGCACUAGAGGCGCUGCAAGUGUGAGCAGCAGGUAGAUGAAACUCAAGAGAAAAGGUGUGGAUAAAUGAAACUAGCCCAUGAUGAACCUGUUUUCUCCGUGACCACAAUAUUAACCAGGAUGAAUGGCGGUGGCAGUGGGCCUGCAUCACAGGUUGCAGCAGAUGUUCUCAAUAUUUCUAUUAAAAUUUCCUUAUUUCCAUAUGCAAGAGGAGCCCCAGAGCUGCAUCCUUAUGGUAGCUACCAUGCCGUGAUGUAAGCUGCCAUUCACUGGGGAGCUUUGGCAAUAGAAUUGGCUAGAUCAGGAAGCCUAUGUCAACUAUGGAACAACAACUUGCAGCUCAUCUCUAUUGAUGAUGGAAUCUCGCUAUGUCACCAGGCUGGAGUGCAGUGGCGCAACCUCGGCUCAGCGCAACAUCCGCCUCCCGGGUUCAAGUGAUUCUCCUACCUCAGCCUCCUGAGUAGCUGGGAUUACAGGAAUCUAAUGACCAUUGAACUGUGGCCAUGACUUCAAUUACAAGUAUUUUCUUCACUAAUGUCAGACUGUGGGCCUUUGUAUAUACACUUUUAACAAACUUUUUGGAAGUGCAAUACAUAUCGCAACAACUUCUCAAUGCUGAAUCAUAGUAUUGGAAGACAUUUUAAGCAACAAUUAAACUCAACUUAUUUACUACCAAUAAUGUACAUAAGUCAGCUGAAGUGAGGAUAACAUGAAUAGCACAAAUACAUUAUGAUUGCUGCCUGGCCAACAGUAAUUAUAAGAAACUGUCAGUUUUGAGAUGUGUCUUGAUUUCAGAGAUGUUAAAAAAGUUUGUAAGUUACCAUUGAUAAAAUAUGAGUUUGCUUCCACAAAUAUUCUUUCUUCUGUCCUUCUGGAACUCAAGAGUAAACAUAUAUUAGAUUUUCUCACCAUUUCAUGCAUGCUGGUUCCUAGGCUACUCUCUGAGUCAUUUUUUUUUUCUUAUCUGCCCUCCAGUUCACUAGUUCUGUCAUUUUCUGGGUCUGAUCUGCUGCAAAUGCAAUACAUUGAGUUUUAAAUUUCAGUCAUUGUGUUUUCAUUUCUAGAAAUUUCAUUUGACUCUUUCUCAAAUUACUUUUCCAUUUUUUUUGUAGUUUCCUAUCCCUGGAGAUAUUUUCAAUCAUGCCAUUUAAUUUUUUAAAUACGCAAGUGUAGUUUUAUAAUUUGUGUCUGAUAAUUCUAAUAUCUGAAGUCUUAGUAGGUCUGUUUCAGUUGUCCUGUAAUUAUGCAUGUUUUUGCCCAUGUUGCUUUGUUUCCUUGUAUGCUUGGUUAUCUUUCUUACUGCCCUUGCAAAAUUAUUUGGAGAGUCCUGGAGGCUUAAAUGAAGAUAACUUUUAGGAAUAAUUUGCAUUUGCUUUUGCCGAGGAUCUUGGGAUCAUUUCAACCAAAAUCUUAGCUUGAAAUUCCGCAAUCAAUCAAGGUGAUGAGAACCUGGUCAGUAAAUCCUAAUGAGGGCCAGGCUGUGGCCAAAGAUUUUUAGACAGAUGUUUCCCUCCUUUGCCAUUUCUCUUUUCUUUCCUCCUCUGCUCCUCUUAGUGUCCAGACAACCUUCAUGGAAGUCCUUGGGGUGGGUGGGAAAUGAGGACGGCAGGUUUCAUUCUAGGUAUAGCCCUUUGAGGUCUAACUUAAUGCAGAGAGAGUUUUCUGGUCUAUGUGCCACCUUACAUGGGAUCUUGAGCCUUGAUUUCUAAACCCCUUGCCUUUGAUGUUUCAGAAUUGAAGCUUAAAUUUGCCAACAGGCAAAUGUCCUCAAGGCAAAUUGGCUUAGGUGUUCGAUAUUCUUCUUACCAGAAAGGUAAACUUGGGUUUUUUACUUCACCCAGGAUUUGGCAUGACAGUUCCCCAUUAUCUUGUCAGCUUAGUGCUUUAAGUGAUUGCAUUUAAAAAAAUUCUGCAUUUUCAGUUUUUAGCAGGAGGAAUGGCCUCAACUAGUGGUUUUCAACUGGGGAUGAUUUUUUUCCCCUAGGGGACAUUUGAUAAUGUUUGGAGAUGUUUUAGUUGUUAGAACUGGGGUUGGGGGAACUACUGUCAUCUGGUGGGGAGAGACCGGCAAUGCUGUUGAUCUUACUAUAAUGCACAGGCCACCCCCAACAACAAACAAAUUACAUAGCCCCAAAUAUCAAUAAUGCCAAGGUCCAAAUAACCUAACCUUCCAUUACUGAAAAUAGAAGUUCAAGAAGAUAGUUUAUAAUUUAAAAAUUUUUAGGUCUUAAUAAGUUGUCAUACUUUCACAGGUUUUAUUUCAUACUAAGUAAUUUAUUUCAAAUUUUACAUUCCAAUUACAGAAAAUUUUCUAAGCCAGUUUUUGUUCUUCAUGAGUAUUACUAUCAAGGUCACAUUUUUCAUCUAGUAUGUUUUACCCUGGUACUUGUUGGCAGGGUCAGGACUAAGGUGAGAUGCGCAAGGCAUUUGCCUCACACAAAAUGCACAAUGAAUAAAAUGUCAAAACUUUAAAUAAAGACAGAAUCACUAAAAGUACUUUGCCAUAUUGGAACCUGAGGCAAAAAGAAAAAUAAGUAAUAAUAUUUAAAAUUUUGAUCUCUUGUUCAUUGUAGAUUUUUACAUUAAUUUUGAUUGUUUAAAACAUUGCAUUAAAAUAUU
ensembl:lncRNA NR2F1-AS1 NR2F1 antisense RNA 1